GUUCCUCCCUGGGAACAAAAUCCCGAUGCUUCGUGAGCGGAAUGGGAAAAAGCUCCAGCAUCAGUGAUUUUGUUGCGAGGGGGC
rnacentral:pre_miRNA from 14 species